AUACGGAGGGUCCAAGCGUUAUCCGGAAUCAUUGGGUUUAAAGGGUGCGCAGGCGGUUUAUUAAGUCAGUGGUGAAAUCUUGGGGCUCAACCUCGAAACUGCCAUUGAUACUGAUAAACUUGAGUUCAGUUGGAGUAGGCGGAAUGCGUAGUGUAGCGGUGAAAUGCUUAGAUAUUACACAGAACACCGAUAGCGAAGGCAGCUUACUAAACUGAUACUGACGCUGAGGCACGAAAGCGUGGGGAGGGAACAGGAUUAGAAACCCUAGUAGUCC
rnacentral:rRNA from 1 species